rnacentral:rRNA from 1 species
UACGUAGGGCGCGAGCGUUGUCUGGAAUUAUUGGGCGUAAAGAGCUCGUAGGCGGCCUGUUGCGUCCGCUGUGAAAUCCCAGGGCUCAACCCUGGGCGUGCAGUGGAUACGGGCAGGCUGGAGGCAGGCAGGGGAGAACGGAAUUCCCGGUGUAGCGGUGAAAUGCGCAGAUAUCGGGAGGAACACCUGUGGCGAAGGCGGCCGGCUGGGGGUACCCUGACGCUGAGGCGCGACAGCGUGGGGAGCGAACCGG